rnacentral:rRNA from 1 species
AGAGUUUGAUCCUGGCUCAGGAUGAACGCUGGCGGCAUGCCUAAUACAUGCAAGUCGAACGAGAGGAAGGAAAGCUUGCUUUUCUGAAUCUAGUGGCGAACGGGUGAGUAACACGUAGGUAACCUGCCCAUGUGCCCGGGAUAACUUCUGGAAACGGAUGCUAAAACCGGAUAGGUAGCAGACAAGCAUUUGACUGCUAUUAAAGUGGCUAAGGCCAUGAACAUGGAUGGACCUGCGGUGCAUUAGCUAGUUGGUGAGGUAACGGCCCACCAAGGCGACGAUGCAUAGCCGGCCUGAGAGGGCGGACGGCCACAUUGGGACUGAGACACGGCCCAAACUCCUACGGGAGGCAGCAGUAGGGAAUUUUCGUCAAUGGGGGGAACCCUGAACGAGCAAUGCCGCGUGAGUGAGGAAGGUCUUCGGAUCGUAAAGCUCUGUUGUAAGAGAAAAACAACAUUCAUAGGGAAUGAUGAGUGAGUGAUGGUAUCUUACCAGAAAGUCACGGCUAACUACGUGCCAGCAGCCGCGGUAAUACGUAGGUGGCGAGCGUUAUCCGGAAUGAUUGGGCGUAAAGGGUGCGUAGGUGGCAGAACAAGUCUGGAGUAAAAGGUAUGGGCUCAACCCGUACUGGCUCUGGAAACUGUUCAGCUAGAGAACAGAAGAGGACGGCGGAACUCCAUGUGUAGCGGUAAAAUGCGUAGAUAUAUGGAAGAACACCGGUGGCGAAGGCGGCCGUCUGGUCUGUUGCUGACACUGAAGCACGAAAGCGUGGGGAGCAAAUAGGAUUAGAUACCCUAGUAGUCCACGCCGUAAACGAUGAGAACUAGGUGUUGGGGGAAUAACUCAGUGCCGCAGUUAACGCAAUAAGUUCUCCGCCUGGGGAGUAUGCACGCAAGUGUGAAACUCAAAGGAAUUGACGGGGGCCCGCACAAGCGGUGGAGUAUGUGGUUUAAUUCGACGCAACGCGAAGAACCUUACCAGGUCUUGACAUUGAUCGCGAUCUGCAGAAAUGCGGAGUUCUUCUUCGGAAGACGAGAAAACAGGUGGUGCACGGCUGUCGUCAGCUCGUGUCGUGAGAUGUUGGGUUAAGUCCCGCAACGAGCGCAA